UAUGAAGGUUUUCGUGAUUUUCCAGUUUUCGGUGAAUGGCGACGGCGACCGGCAAGGCUAACCGGAGAGGAAGAUAGAAUAUUCCUUCAAAGUUGACGGAAUAUUUUGACGCCGUAAGGUAGAAUUAACAGUUUCUGUUACUUUUUAACGGAAUAUUCCUAACGGGGUUAAGGGAUUCCAAUAGGGUCCCUGCGUGUGGCCGCGUGUGUUGCCGUGCCCUUGUCGGAGCGUGGUGGCAUGUGGGACGUCGGAAAAAUUUUCUAAAAAUAUGGGGAUGUUGAGGUUGUGUAGAUCACAUUGGUAUAUUCAAACAUCCCAUUUGAGCAAUGUAUGAGAAGUUAUUAGCUAGUAUUCGUUAUGUGCUUUAAAUUAACGUUUUUAUAGUUGUUUCGCAUAUAGGGGAGACUUAUCCCGAGGACGAGCGCGGUCAAGGGCGACUCGGGGGCUACGACUCUUUGACAUACCAGUGAGUGGGCUUUUGGUUUUCAGUAUAUACUUAUAUACUUGAUAUUUUCCCAGAAAAUGCGUUUAAAUGAAAGUAUGCCUUGAAAUGCCAUGCAUAUAAAUUUAUGUUCAAUAUAUGAAUUAGUAUAUGAUGCAUACUAUAUAAUUGUGGUGAUGUGGACACUCAGGUAAGUCCAAGUGAGUUUAUGAAUUGUAAAUGUGAAUAAUGAUUAUGAUUAAUUGAGAAGUAUAGAGCUCAUAAACCUGCACCUCGAUGUUCGUGAUUAGUCAGAGAUAUGACACAUGCUUGUAUAUAAUGUCACCUCCUGCACCCUAUGCUCACAUUGGAUCCAAUACAGACCAUUAUAGGUGAUUCCAACUCGUAGAUGACUAGCGAUUUAUCGCACAGCUAUCAUGAGAGCGUAGUAUUGAGCAUAAUUAUAUUACACCCAGUCUUGUUGUACAGACCUUUUCAGUGGUUCCAACUUGUGUGCAGUGUAGUGCCGUAUAGGUCAUUUGCAGUGACUCUGGUUAGAUUGACUAAUGAGCUAUGAAUGCAACCGUACAGACUUCUGCAGGGAUUCCGGCUAAUGUGUUAUUUUCCAUGAAUUUACUUUCACAUGAGUUACUUAUCUUGUUUAUAUCUUGGCAUGACAUACUUAUGAUUAUGAAUAUGUGUAGCAUGAUUUGAAUUGAUAUAUAUAGAUAUAUGUAUACGUUUAUAUUCUAUUUCUAGGAAAAAGUAUACAUGUUUUACGGCGAGGGGUUAGAGCACUUGAAAGUUAAAUGUGUUCUUAAAACCCUUGUUUUUGCCCACUCACGUUUUCUGUUUUGCGCCCCUCCAGGUUUUAGGUAGAAUUGCUGUUGGUGGCAUUGAGGAUCUCGAUGGUUCUGAUAGAAUAAAAUAUUCGUAGGAUAUCUUCUGGUACUAUAUAACUAGUACUUGUCCUACUGGACUGCACCUAGAUUUUCUAUGCUCUGAUUAGGAGUAUUUACUCUUGUAUCUCACUCCUAGCACUUUCCUGCUUAUUAGUGCACAUUAGUACCUUUCGGUUUUUAUUUAUUCGUAUAUUUCUUAUCCUUAUCGCUUCCGCACUGUGCACAUGGCUACGUCACCCUCAUGUUAUGGCCAGCAUACCUCAAUCUCGGUCGGGAUGUGUCAAUUAUUCACUAAUUUGGAAAGCCAUUAAAAAUGCUAAAACCUAUUAAAAGAGCCUAAAAAUUUCUAUUACAACCAUAUUCUCAGAUUUGGGAAGUCAUAAUGAAUAUGAACGAAUAGAAAUAAGUUUUUAAUUUAAAAAGUUAUUAAAAGUAACGAUUAAUGCUAAAAGCUCUUAGGAGUUUCUUUCUUAUUCUCUAAAUUUAGGAGCUUGUAAAAUUGAUUUCUUUUUGUACAAAAAAACCACCCACAAUAUUAAAAGUUGCACCAGCUCAUUUUUUUUUGUUUGUUGAGACAAGCAAUAUUAUUCUAAAUUAAUCUAUGGUCCAAGAAAGGAAGUUCAAACCCUAGCACGCAUAAGAAGCAUACGUUCAUUUUGGACAAUAUGAUUAUGCUCAAACCUGAUGUAUUAAGAAUAUUUCUCUUCUUUGGGAGAGGUCACAAGCUCGAACAUUCUUAAAAGAUUAAGAAAUAAAAAAACUCUUUACAAAAGAUAAUAAUAUGUAUAUAUAUCAAGCUCUUUAUGCAAAGGGAUCCCCAUUUAAAAAAAAAAAAUAGGGAUUAGGUGUGGGGCCCACUCCACAUCGAACUUCAAUGAUCUGAACCUUCUAUUUUGUAAGUCCCGAUUCAUAGAUGAUUCUUGUAAAAAUUCAAUUCAAUUCGAAACCAUUUGCCUAUUUAAUUAUCAAGAUAAAAUUUCAUUGUUUCUUAUUAACAAAGUAUUCGUUAAUUUUUUGAACCCAAUACGAAGUCUUAAAUAUUUUCUAUUUGGCUAAUAGUUUGCAAGGAUGAUCUAUGAGAUGCAACUUGAAAAUAAACAAUUCACAUCGUUACAACUAAUCCCUAUUUUAUUAAUUUUUAAUUAGUUUAAUCAUUUAUUAUAAUUAAUAUUGAGUUGAUUGAUGUAAUUAUUCUACUUUUUUC
rnacentral:lncRNA from 1 species